AGAGUUUGAUCAUGGCUCAGAGUGAACGCUGGCGGUAGGCCUAACACAUGCAAGUCGAACGGCAGCACAGUAAGAGCUUGCUCUUAUGGGUGGCGAGUGGCGGACGGGUGAGGAAUACAUCGGAAUCUACCUUUUCGUGGGGGAUAACGUAGGGAAACUUACGCUAAUACCGCAUACGACCUUCGGGUGAAAGCAGGGGACCUUCGGGCCUUGCGCGGAUAGAUGAGCCGAUGUCGGAUUAGCUAGUUGGCGGGGUAAAGGCCCUCCAACGCGACGCUCCGUAGCUCGUGUGUGCGGAUUAUCAGCCCCUCGUUUUCCGAGACACGGUCCAGACUCCUGACUGCGGACUCC
rnacentral:rRNA from 1 species